CUCUACAAGUGUGACAUCAGCGGUCAUGGAGAGUCUCCAUCCAGCUGGAUCACUGUCACAGACAAACACACCACCACACCUCCACCUACAUCCACCUCUGCUCCUGGUUCCACCUCCAUCACUCUUCCUCCAUCACUCUCUCCUCCUGUUCUCUCUGCAUUAUCAUGUGUUGGAUCAGUCUGUGUUGUGGUUCUGCUGAGAAAACGAUGUGUUCACAGGAAACCAGAAGCAGAUAAAGAAGAACCCGAAGAAGAUGCCAUCCCCAAUGACAUCACAUACAGUGACAUCAAAAUAUCAAAUAAUCGACAAAAGCCAAUCAAGGAAAGAAGAGACAGUGAUCCAGCUACAAUUUACUCAGCAGUGAGAACUGAAGACGUCACUUAUGGAAAAAUCAUCAUCAAAGACAAGAAGAAGAAAUCAAA